rnacentral:rRNA from 1 species
GACGAACGCUGGCGGCGUGCCUAACACAUGCAAGUCGAACGAAGCAUUUAAGUGAAUCCCUUCGGGGUGAAGCUUUUAUGACUUAGUGGCGGACGGGUGAGUAACGCGUGAGUAACCUGCCUUUCAGUGGGGGAUAACAUCCGGAAACGGGUGCUAAUACCGCAUAGUUUCUUUUUCCGCCUGGAAGAAGAAGGAAAGAUGGCCUUUGCGCUAUCACUGAGGGAUGGACCCGCGGCGUAUUAGUUAGUUGGUGGGGUAAUGGCCUACCAAGACGAUGAUACGUAGCCGACCUGAGAGGGUGAUCGGCCACAUUGGGACUGAGACACGGCCCAA